UGAGGAAUAUUGGUCAAUGGGGGCAACCCUGAACCAGCCAAGUCGCGUGAAGGAUGAAGGUCUUAUGGAUUGUAAACUUCUUUUACACGGGAAUAAAGCGGGGGACGUGUCCCUCUUUGCAUGUACCGUGUGAAUAAGGAUCGGCUAACUCCGUGCCAGCAGCCGCGGUAAUACGGAGGAUCCGAGCGUUAUCCGGAUUUAUUGGGUUUCAAGGGUGCGCAGGCGGGAUGUUAAGUCGGCGGUGAAAUUUUGCAGCUCAACUGUAAAAGUGCCUUCGAUACUGGCCUUCUUGAGUGUGGAUGAAGUAGGCGGAAUUUGUGGUGUAGCGGUGAAAUGCUUAGAUAUCACGAGGAACUCCGAUUGCGCAGGCAGCUUACUAAGCCACAACUGACGCUCAUGCACGAAGGCGUGGGGAUCAAACA
rnacentral:rRNA from 1 species